rnacentral:rRNA from 1 species
UACGGAGGAUGCAAGCGUUAUCCGGAAUCAUUGGGCGUAAAGGGUCCUGAGGUGGUUUGCUAAGUCUACUGUGAAAGAUCAGGGCUCAACCCUGAAGAUGCGGUGGAAACUGGCAGGCUAGAAUACGGUAGGGGCAGGGGGAAUUCCCGGUGUAGCGGUGAAAUGCGCAGAUAUCAGGAGGAACACCAAUGGCGAAGGCAGCUCGCUGGGACGGUACUGACGCUGAGACGCGAAAGCGUGGGGAGCAAACAGG